GGGGAAUCUUCCGCAAUGGGCGAAAGCCUGACGGAGCAAUACCGCGUGAGGGAAGACUGCCUAUGGGUUGUAAACCUCUUUUUUCAGGGAGGAAUAAAUUGACGUGUACCUGAAGAAUAAGCAUCGGCUAACUCCGUGCCAGCAGCCGCGGUAAGACGGAGGAUGCAAGUGUUAUCCGGAAUCACUGGGCGUAAAGCGUCUGUAGGUGGUUUAAUAAGUCAACUGUUAAAUCUUGAGGCUCAACUUCAAAAUCGCAGUCGAAACUAUUAGACUAGAGUAUAGUAGAGGUAAAGGGAAUUUCCAGUGGAGCGGUGAAAUGCGUAGAUAUUGGAAAGAACACCAAUGGCGAAAGCACUUUACUGGGCUAUUACUAACACUCAGAGACGAAAGCCAGGGUAGCAAAUGGGAUUAGAUACCCCAGUAGUC
rnacentral:rRNA from 1 species